GUAACAAGGUCUCCGUUGGUGAACCAGCGGAGGGAUCAUUACAGAGUUGCAAAACUCCCAAACCAUCGUGAACGUUACCUACAUCGUUGCUUCGGCGGGUGGCGGGCUUCGGCCCUGCCCUCGGCCCCUCUCGGGGGCCCGCCGGAGGUACACCAAACUCUUGAAUUUACAUGGCCUCUCUGAGUCUUCUGUACUGAAUAAGUCAAAACUUUCAACAACGGAUCUCUUGGUUCUGGCAUCGAUGAAGAACGCAGCGAAAUGCGAUAAGUAAUGUGAAUUGCAGAAUUCAGUGAAUCAUCGAAUCUUUGAACGCACAUUGCGCCCGCCAGUAUUCUGGCGGGCAUGCCUGUCCGAGCGUCAUUUCAACCAUCAAGCCCCCGGCUUGUGUUGGGGACCUGCGGCACACCCGCAGGCCCUGAAAACCAGUGGCGGGCUCGCUGUCCACACCGAGCGUAGUAGCAUAUCUUUGUCUCGCUCAGGGCGUGCGGCGGGUUCCGGCCGUGAAACCCACCUUCUCGAAGGUACCCAAAGGUUGACCUCGGAUCAGGUAGGAAGACCCGCUGAACUUAAGCAUAUCAAUAAGCCGGAGGA
rnacentral:rRNA from 1 species